GACGAACCGUGCGAACGUUGUUCGGAAUCACUGGGCUUAAAGGGCGCGUAGGCGGGCUGCCGAGUCCGGGGUGAAAUCCUCCCGCUCAACGGGAGAACGGCCCCGGGUACUGGCGGCCUCGAGGCGGGUAGGGGCGUGCGGAACACUGGGUGGAGCGGUGAAAUGCGUUGAUAUCCAGUGGAACUCCGGUGGCGAAGGCGGCACGCUGGACCCGAUCUGACGCUGAGGCGCGAAAGCCAGGGGAGCGAACGGG
rnacentral:rRNA from 1 species